AAGUGAAAAUAUUAGAUAAUUUAAAUAAGGAUUUUUGCGUAUUUCAUAAGCUAUGUUGUAAGAAAGAGUUACAAGUACUAAAAGAUUACAUUUGUUAACAUAAAUAGUAGAGCAACUCUAAAGCACCACUGAAAAAUAAACUUCCCCUUCAACAUUAACCUAUGACAAUAGAAUUACUUCAAAAUACAUUAAAACGUGUUCGUU
rnacentral:misc_RNA from 1 species